AAAUGAGGCAAUCUGGCUGUGGCAUGGCCCCUGUCAUUUGCCAGGCUGAUUUGCCUGGCUGGGUGAGUGUCCCCUCCCUCCCUCCUUCCUUCACUCUCCCACACACACACUCCUUCCAAACCUCCUACAGCGACACCUUCUCCAGUGGAAAACUGUUCCCAAGCCAAGGGUAUGCGAGUCGUUGCACUUCCCUUCUAGAACUUUCAAAGAAGAUUUCUUGGUAAACCUCCAGGCUCUCCAGGAAAACUGUGGCAAGCAGGCAGGGUCGCAGAGCAAGUCCAUCGCAUCCCCAGGGCCACAGAAUGAUUCCCUUUUCCACUUUGUUGUCUUGG
ensembl:misc_RNA 7SK 7SK RNA